UGCUUUAGUGCCUUAAAUCCAUCAUUAUGUGCUUUAUGUGUUAUAUCUUAUGGGCCAAAUUGCAUUCUUAUAGAUGACAGCGCCUUGGAUAAUGCCUUUACACUUGAUUCCUUCCUAUACUACCUCUUUGCCUAUGAUGACAUCCAUACUAGUUUUGGAUUUGUAUUAUGUAGAGGUAGGGAACUUAUUGGUUGGUCCACUUAUUUGAAUGACAAUGCUAUGUGGUUUUGGUGGACUAUAAGACCAAUAGUGGCACCACUUUUGAUGAGGAC
rnacentral:lncRNA from 1 species